GGGGUUGUAGCUCAGUUGGGAGAGCGCUUGAAUGGCAUUCAAGAGGUCGUCGGUUCGAUCCCGUCCAGCUCCACAA
rnacentral:tRNA from 1 species